UGGGGAAUAUUGCACAAUGGACGGAAGUUUGAUGCAGCGACGCCGCGUGGAGGGUGUAGGCCUUCGGGUUGUGAACUCCUUUUUCUCGCGAAAAAGGCACAGUUUUGGCUGUGUUGAUGGUAGUGGGGGCAGAAGCGCCGGCUAACUACGUGCCAGCAGCCGCGGUAAUACGUAGGGCGCGAGCGCUGUCCGGAUUUAUUGGGCGUAAAGAGCUCGUAGGUGGUUCGUCGCGUCUGUCGUGAAAGCCAGCAGCUUAACUGUUGGGUUGCGGUGGGUACGGGCGGGCUUGAGUGCGGUAGGAGUGACUGGAAUUCCUGGUGUAGCGGUGGAAUGCGCAGAGAUCAGGAGGAACACCGAUGGCGAAGGCAGGUCACUGGGCCGUUACUGACACUGAGGAGCGAAAGCGUGGGGAGCGAACAGG
rnacentral:rRNA from 1 species